UACGGGGGGGGCAAGCGGUUGUUCGGAAUUACUGGGCGUAAAGGGCUCGUAGGUGGCCAACUAAGUCAGACGUGAAAUCCCUCAGCUUAACUGGGGAACUGCGUCUGAUACUGGAUGGCUUGAGUUUGGGAGAGGGAUGCGGAAUUCCAGGUGUAGCGGUGAAAUGACGUAGAUAUCUGGAGGAACACCGGUGGCGAAGGCGGCAUCCUGGACCAACACUGACACUGAGGAGCGAAAGCUAGGGGAGCAAACGGG
rnacentral:rRNA from 1 species